rnacentral:rRNA from 1 species
AACACGUGGAUAACCUGCCCUAAGGUGGGGCAUAACCCCGGGAAACUGGGGAUAAUACCCCAUAGGUUAGAGAUGCUGGAAUGCCCUUUAACCCAAAGCUCCGGCGCCUUAGGAUGGAUCUGCGGCCGAUUAGGUAGUUGUUGGGGUAACGGCCCAACAAGCCCGUAAUCGGUACGGGUUGUGGGAGCAAGAGCCCGGAGAUGGACUCUGAGACACGAGUCCAGGCCCUACGGGGCGCAGCAGGCGCGAAAACUUUACAAUGCAGGAAACUGUGAUAAGGGAACCCCGAGUGCCCGUAUACGCGGGCUGUCCAGGUGUGUAAAAAGCAUCUGAAGAAAGGGCCGGGCAAGACCGGUGCCAGCCGCCGCGGUAAUACCGGCGGCUCGAGUGGUGGCCACUUUUAUUGGGCUUAAAGCGUUCGUAGCUCGGUUGUUAAGUCUCUUGGGAAAUCUCACGGCUUAACCGUGAGGCGCCUAAGGGAUACUGGCAACCUAGGGACCGGAAGAGGUGAGAGGUACUCCAGGGGUAGGAGUGAAAUCCUGUAAUCCUUGGGGGACCACCUGUGGCGAAGGCGUCUCACC